GGUCAAGUUAUUAAGGGUGCAGGGCGGAUGCCUUGGCACUAGGAGCCGAUGAAGGACGUGAUAAGCUGCGAUAAGCUUCGGGGAGUUGCACGUAAACUUUGAUCCGAAGAUUUCCGAAUGAGGAAACUCACUUAGAGUAAUGUCUAAGUAUCAUUAAGUGAAUACAUAGCUUAAUGAGGGGAACUCAGGGAACUGAAACAUCUAAGUACCUGAAGGAAGAGAAAGAAAUUCGAUUCCGUAAGUAGCGGCGAGCGAACGCGGAUUAGCCCAAACCAAUAAAGUUUUCUUUAUUGGGGUUGCGGACAUAUCAUAACGAAGAGGUAUCGUAAUUGAAGAGGUUUGGAAAGACCCACCACAGAAGGUAAUAGUCCUGUAUGUUAAACGAGAAGACUUUAGAUAUGAUCCAGAGUACCACGGGACACGUGAAACCCUGUGGGAAGCAGGAGGGACCACCCUCCAAGGCUAAAUACUACCUAGUGACCGAUAGCGUAUAGUACCGUGAGGGAAAGGUGAAAAGAACCCCGGGAGGGGAGUGAAAUAGAACCUGAAACCCUGCACUUACAAGCUGUGGAAGCACAUUUCUUGUGUGACC
rnacentral:rRNA from 1 species